AACAAAAGCACAGAUUUAUUGAAAACAAAAGUACACUCCACAAGGUGGCAGCCCGCAGAGCAUAGGGGCUCAACAGGCAUGUGCCAGAAUUUUUCUGGGGUUUAAACACCCUCUACAGGUUUCCUAUUGGUCACUUGGUGUACAUCCUAUGUAAAUGAAGUAGUGGCCCGUAAUCCGCCCUAGGUUCCCUUAGGUUGCUUUGCGCAACCAGAGGCUGAAGUGAAGUUACAAAGGUUACACGCUAUGCAAGCAUCUGAUACUUUCAAAUUUUUGUCUGCCACGCAGAAAAGGUGAUGGGGUUUGUAAAGGGAGUAGCCUCCAGUCCUUUCAGUGGGUCCUUACCGUGGGUCCUUUCCUUACUUAGGUGGGGAAAGGGAAAGUUGGGGUUUUCCUUUUGAUUUAGUUCUAGAAGUCAGCAUGAAUCAGUUAGGUUUCCUGCCUCCAGACCCUAUUCCUCUGCCUCAGUAACAGUUAUUUUCUCUAGGGAGGGCGUGUAAUUUCAGAGGCAAAGUAUGAAUAUAUUUUGUUAAUUAUUUGUAUUUAUCAUUUAUUUAUUUUGAGACAAUCUCGCUCUGCCGCCCAGGCUGGAGUGCAGUGGCAAUUACGUGUCACUGCAGCAUCGAACUCCUGGACUCAAGUGAUCCUCCCGCCUCGGCCUCCCAAAGUGCAGGGAUUACUGGCGUGGAGACUUCAGUUUUAAGUGACAACGUUUUGCAGUACUUACUUAAGAAAUAAAAACAACUUAGAGUGGGGGAAAAAAAAGCCACUGGAUUAGAUACGAGUUCUAGUCCUUAACGAAAGUCACUUAAACUCUGUUUUGGCUUCCUCGUCUGGAAGAUGAAAAUGGUAAUAUCACUGACUGAGUAGGGUUGCUGUAAGUAUGAGUUAGUGUGUAAAUGUUUACAAUUACGCAUGGCACACAGCAAGCGCCACGUUUUCUAUCAGGGCUAUUCUCACCUAACGCCUAAAACAGGACGGCAUGCCCAGCUGGAUCCGGGCCCUGGGUUCUCAGGCAUUGUGAUUGGUCUCAGCAUAUGACGCAAGCUGCUGUCAAUUAUCGAAGGGCGGAAACCAGGCGAAGAGGGCGGUCCUUUGGUACCAUACCUGCGCGACUCGCUCCUCUCUUUUCAGGCUUAGUUACUGCGCAUGCGUCUGGCCCUCUUGAGGUUCCGGCGUGCCCCGCAACAACUUCCGGCGUGCUCCGCAACAGCUUCAGGCGUGACGCAGUAGAAAAGGUGGCGUGGCUGGCGAUUCGUGCCCGUGAGGGCCUUUUCUGGUGAGGCGGGGCUUAAGGGUUGCGGCUCCGCUCUGUGUCCUGAGGCUUUCAGAUUGCGCUCUGGGUUCCUGGACGCAAAAACUCGGAGUGGCUGCGUGAUGCAGAGUGAACUGGGUCCUCUGGGGACGCGUGGGGAACGUGGCAGUCUGGAGUGCCGGCGUUGUUGCCCUUCGGAGCUCCAGUCCGUUCAGGUUCCCCAGUGAGGCCUCCUUUGAAGGGCUGGGUGCCUCUUGCCCUUCACGCUGAGAAAACACUCGUUUCCUAAAGCUCGAUUGCGCCCUUGUGCUGAGCGGUGGGGACACGAAGACAGCACAGAAAUGCUGUUUACCCUCAGCGAGCCUCCAAACUGUCGGAGUGGAUAAACCCACCAGAAACAAAUUACAGCGUUAGGCGGGUUAAGAUGGAGCACCCUGAGAGAUGUUACAGACAGGACCGGAGAGUUCACAGGAUCAGGAUGCUUCAAGAAGAUGGGAAUAGUGGCGUCAUCAAUCUUCAUCCUGGGGUUUUUGUCUUUGAUGUUGCACUCCUUGAGGACAUGAAAUUUUUCUUCGACAUUUCCAAUACCUAGGCUCAGGUGCCCUUCCCUGGUUGUGAGGGAUAGAGACCAGCUGUCUCUCGUGUUGAUUAUCUGUGGAAAGGAUGAAUUAGGUCUUGGGGACUUCAGGAGGGAAAAUUUUGGUGAGCAAAGGCACUAAUAUGUCCCUAGACCAGGGGUUCUCAACCAGCGCCCCCCUCCCAGAGCACAAUUGACACUGUCUGGAGACAAUUUUGUUGUCACUACCGAGGGGUGCUACUGACAUCUAGUGGAUGGAGGCCAGGGAUGCAGCUAAACAUUCUACAAGGUCCCCACCCCACUCCCCAACCCCAAGAACUCAAAAAAGCGAUCUGGCUCAAAAUGUCAGUGUGCUGAGGUUCUGAAACCCUACCCUAGAAUGACAGCGGAAAUGGAGAGACAGCGGAUGUUGGAGACAUCUCAGCCGAAGACUAGUUUUGUCUCUUUCUUUUGAGACCGUGUCCUCGCUCUGUCGCCCAGGCUGGAGUGCAGUGGCGCAAUCUGGGCUCACUGCAAGCUCCGCCUCCCGGGUUCACGUUAUUCUCCCGCCUCAGCCUCCGGAGUAGCUGGGACUACAGGCGCUCGCCACCAUGGCCGGCUAAUUUUUUGUUUUUGUAUUUUUAGUAGAGACGGGGUUUCACCGUGUUAGCCAGGAUGGUCUCGAUCUCCUGACCUCGUGAUUGGCCCGCCUCAGCCUCCCAAAGUGCUGAGAUUAUAGGCGUGGGCCACCUCGCCCGGCCUCAUUUUGUGUUCUUUAUAAUGCACCAAGAUAAUACAUUUUUUAAGUCUCCAACUUCAAGAAUUGUACAAAUAUGACUGUGACAUUGCUUAAAAAUAUAGGAAAAUUAAAAAAAAUUGUACAAAUAAAAUGAAUCAUGUUUACGACUUACUAAUGGAACUUCAGUGGCAACUCAGAGAAGGACGUGUUUGCUUCCCCUUCCGCCAUGACUGUAAGUUUCCUGAGGCCUCCCCAGCCAUACAGAACUGAGCUCUCUGUACAUCCUCAACCAGAGCCACAGCUUCCUCGCCGUUUUCUGGAUGCUGCUCCCUCACCCAGGUCUGGAUCUCCUCUGGCAAGAUAGUCAGAAACUGCUCCAAAACCAGCAGCUCCAGGAUUUCCUCUUUCGAGUGGGUCUUCGGCCUCAGCCACUGACAACAGAGUUCCCAGAGUUUGCUAAAAGCUUCAUGGGGGCCAGUUACCUCCUGGUAGCAAAACUGCCUGAAGCGCUGACGGGAGGCCUCGGAGUCAGGGCUGUUACCCUGGAGGGCUGAUUUCUGGCCCUGUGUGGGAUCCUUGUUUGAGGAUGGGUGUGCCUCGGUACUCUUCACUGCAGCCAUUUGCUUCAACGAACUGGCUUACUCUGGUUGCCACUUCUACCCUGGAGAUCAGAGUCCAUCUUUCCCACAUCACUGGGAAGCCAUGUUCUCCUGCAAGGAAUGUCUUUCUGUAAUCCGUGGGACAUGAGAGUGUCAGACAUGCGCAGAGACUCACAGCUGAAAAAAAGGGCUCAACUUUCAAGGAUGUCUGAAGACGAUGGAAAAAGACAGUAUAAACCUAUCAGACAUUCUUUCA